CUGUUGUGGUGCUGGGAAGGUGGUGCUUGGGCUAUGGAGAAACAAUCCCACAACCUGAAUAAUAGCCUGUGGCCAACAGAAUUCUGUGUCUUUUCUUCCAAGUAAAGCCGGCUACUGGGCAAAUUCCAACUCGGGUGAUCCCAUUGUUUUCAACAUUAAUCAUUCUCAGAAAUAUUGAGUUUUCUAAAGUGUUUUGCCAAGGCGGCCCUUGGAAACCUGUCUAUGCUUCUGGAUGAACCAACCUAAGUCACAUCACUCCAGAUAUCAUGGAGGAUAUCCAUAUGGUUAUAUGGAAUCAUAGAAACUUGUGGACGGAGGAGACUUAGGGAUUAUCUAGUCCAACCUUCUUGAUUUCAGGUGCUGAUAAUUCCCAGGACUACCACCAGCCUCGCCUUUGUGCUGACAAGACUUCCUGAUACGUCCUCAAGGAUGAUCAAAUGAACUUCAUGACUUGUUUCUGUUUCUGCCCUUGGACGACUUCUGCGGAAAUCAUCUCUAGGGCCUUGUUCUGUUGCCUCCACCUCCCGGGUUCAAGCAAUUCUCCUGCCUCAGCCACCUGAGUAGGUGGGACUACAGGCACGCACCACCACGCCUGGCUAAUUUUUGUGUUUUUGGAAGAGACGGGGUUUCACCAUGUUGGCCAGGCUGAGCUCAUUCCUUUUUAUUGCUGAGUAAGAAUAUGCUACAAUUUUUUAUCCAUUUAUCUAUUGAUGUACAUUUGGCUUGUUUCUAGUUUUUGGCUACUACAAGUAAAGCUGCUAUGAACAGUCAUGUAUAUAUUGUGUGGACAUAUACUUUCAUUUCUCGUGGAUAAAUAGCUAGGAGUAGAAUGGUUAGGUCAUAUGGUGACUGCAUAUUUACAUUUUAAGAAAUUGUUUCUCAAAGAGGUUGAACAAUUUUACAUUUUCACUAGUAGUGUAUGAAAUUUCUGGUUGCUCCACAUCCUUGAAAACACUUGAUAUAAUCAGUCUUUUCAAUUUUAGCCAUUCUAGUGGUUAUGUAGUGGUGUAGUUGAACAUUUUUUUCAUGUGCUUAUUUGCUAUUUGUAUAUCUUUUUUGAAGUGUUAAUUAAAAUAUUCUGCCCAUUUUUAAUAAAAUUGUGGUGGUGGUGUUAGAGUUUUUAAAAAAUGUAUUCCAGAUAUCAGUCCUUUAACAGAUACAUUAUUUGUAAAGAUUUUCUCCCAGUCUAGGGUUUCUCAUUUCCUUUUUAAAAUAGUGUCUUUGGAUAAAGUCUAAUUUAUGGUUUCUUUUUAUUCCUGUAUCCAAAUCUUUGCCAAACUAAGGUCACUAUGAUUUUUUUUCCUAUUGUGCUCUAGAAGUUUUAUAAUUUUAACUCUUGUAUUUAGGCUUAUGUUUUAUUUUGAGUUAAAUUUUGUAUAUACUAAGCGGUAAGAAUCAAGGUUCAUUUUUGUGCAUAUAGAUACCAAGUUGUUCCAGAACCAUUUAUUGAAAAGAUUAUUCUUUCUCUUUUAAAUUGUCCUGGCACCUUUGUCAACAAUCCUAAAUAUGUGGGUCUAUGUUCUAUUCUAAUUCAUUUAUUGAUCUAUUUUUAUGCGAAUACCACACUGUCUUGGUUAAUGAAACUUUGUAAAAGCUUUGAAGUUAGGCAGUACGAACCCUCUGGCUCUUUUUUCAAAGUUGUUUUUCCAAAGAAUUUUCUACAGAGUCAGUCGUGUUAUCUGCAAAUAAAGCCAGUUUUAUUUCUUCUUUUCAAAU
rnacentral:lncRNA from 10 species